GAUGAACGCUGGCGGCGUGCCUAAUGCAUGCAAGUCGAGCGAACAGACGAGGAGCUUGCUCCUCUGACGUUAGCGGCGGACGGGUGAGUAACACGUGGAUAACCUACCUAUAAGACUGGGAUAACUUCGGGAAACCGGAGCUAAUACCGGAUAACAUGUUGAACCGCAUGGUUCAACAGUGAAAGACGGUCUUGCUGUCACUUAUAGAUGGAUCCGCGCCGCAUUAGCUAGUUGGUAAGGUAACGGCUUACCAAGGCAACGAUGCGUAGCCGACCUGAGAGAGGGAUCGGCCACACUGGAACUGAGACACGGUCCAGACUACUACGGGAGGCAGCAGUAGGGAAUCUUCCGCAAUGGGCGAAAGCCUGACGGAGCAACGCCGCGUGAGUGAAGAAGGUCUUCGGAUCGUAAAACUCUGUUAUUAGUGAAGAACAAAUGUGUAAGUAACUAUGCACGUCUUGACGGUACCUAAUCAGAAAGCCACGGCUAACUACGUG
rnacentral:rRNA from 1 species